GUGCCUAUAGUGUAAUGGUUAGCACGAGAGAUUGUGGAUCUCUCAGAAUGGGUUCAAAUCCCAUUAGGCACCCCA
rnacentral:tRNA from 1 species